rnacentral:sRNA from 1 species
ACAGGAAUUCAUAUUGGGGUGAUCACUCAGAAGAAAAGGUGAAUACCGGAUGUUGUAAGCUAUUGGACUGCCACAAGUGAUAUCUUUACACACCAUUCUGCUGUCAUUGGGUAGCUUUGAACCCCCAAAAUGUUGGAAGAAUAAUAUAGGACAUUGCAGAAGACGAUGUUUAGAUACUGAAAGGUACAUACUUCUUUGUAGGAACAAGCUAUCAUGCUGCAUUUAUAUAAUAAUAUCACAUGAAUAUACUCGACGACCAGCAUUUCCUAUGAUUCACCUAGAGGAUAUAACAUUUGAUUAUAGUGAUGUGGACUCUUUUACUGGUUCCCCAGUAUCUAUGUUGAAUGAUCUGAUAACAUUUGACACAACUAAAUUUGGAGAAACCAUGACACCUGAGACCAAUACUCCUGAGACUACUAUGCCACCAUCUGAGACCACUACUCCCGAGACUACUAUGCCACCAUCUGAGACCGCUACUUCCGAGACUAUGCCACCGCUUUCUCAGACAGCUCUUACUCAUAAUUAAUUAACAUUUACUUCUGGUAUGGAAGAACUAGAAAUACUGCUGGAAAUAAUACCCAAAGAGCUCAUUCUACCAAUCCAAUUUCACCAGGAAAAUUCCAUCAGGGAUUGGAUGACCAUGGGGAUGGACAUAAUUGCUACUACCAACACAACAGCCAAGAGAGUUGCCUUACAAUUAGAAAUGUGUAGACAGAAAUGUAUAGAAGAUACAAGGAUUUUCUUAAUUGGACUUAAAUUCUUUAUCUGUCUUCCUCCGAUGUACUCAAAUAUAUGAGCUAAUUUUUGUCUUAAGUGAACAUUUGUAUGUCUAUGUAUUUUUCCAUGCCAAAAACAAAAACGAAGACCAUUGUUUGGAGCUGCCUAUUAUGACUAAGACAUGAAGUUUUACUUUAACAGUGCCUGGCCCACUACUAUCAUAUAUAGGAGAACAUAUAAAAGCAUAUAGAAAGUUCCAGAUGAAUGUUCCCUUCUCUACCCUCCACCUUUUAUUGUAAGUUCUGACCCUAAAUACUUUUCUGUGUCAUGACGUCAAAUUUUGUUUAAGGUUCUAGCUGGUAACUAACAGAGUCAGAAGCUAAUUCUUUCAUUCAGCACAAGCACUGAUCUAACUGGAUAGAGAUAAAAGUGGGACUUGCCUUGAGAGUACAUCAUAUUAGAUUAAAAGCUGCAUCUCAAAUUCUA